GAUGAACGCUGGCGGCGUGCUUAACACAUGCAAGUCGAACGGAAAGGCCCUGCUUUUGUGGGGUGCUCGAGUGGCGAACGGGUGAGUAACACGUGAGUAACCUGCCCUUGACUUUGGGAUAACUUCAGGAAACUGGGUCUAAUACCGGAUAGGAGCUCCUGCUGCAUGGUGGGGGUUGGAAAGUUUCGGCGGUUGGGGAUGGACUCGCGGCUUAUCAGCUUGUUGGUGGGGUAGUGGCUUACCAAGGCUUUGACGGGUAGCCGGCCUGAGAGGGUGACCGGCAACAUUGGGACUGAGAUACGGCCAAGACUCCUACGGGAGGAAGCAGUGGGGAAUAUUGCACAAUGGGCGGAAGCCUGAUGCAGCAACGCCGCGUGCGGGAUGACGGCCUUCGGGUUGUAAACCGCUUUCGCCUGUGACGAAGCGUGAGUGACGGUAAUGGGUAAAGAAGCACCGGCUAACUACGUG
rnacentral:rRNA from 1 species